ensembl:lncRNA
UACUUACCCAGUGCAUUUGAAAGGGAAGAGGAGCGGCGCUAUGAGAAGCUCUCCUGACAAAUGAGCUGCCUGGGAUUCUCAUUGUAGCUGUCUUACAGACACAAGUCAAAAGAGGAAGAUGAUGUGUUUAUUCACCAUGCGGUGGCUAGCGCUAGCGAGUUAGCAAGGGAGAUUUGAGAUCUGUUCCAAAACCUGCCUCACUGCUUGCUGGCUACGUAGAUGGUUGUCUACUAAAGCAGCAUCCUAAUUGCAAAAGAACCUUAAGUGAUUGAUUUGGAACACUCUACAAAAGAGAAGAUGGGAAACCAGCAUGAUUCAAACAUGCGCUGCCUGCAUGAGCACUUUAAGAGUGAGUACUUGGUUGGAGAUGAGCCGGGUGUGACCAGUGUGGGGCGAGUCAUCUGCUCAGUGGGUGUGAGAGGUAAUUACUGCAGGAGAAUGGUGAAGCAGAUGUGAGGGUCUCGCUUAGAGGAGGGAGCCGGGAGCCUCCUCCAGUCUGCUGCUGCUGCUGCUGCUGUUGGUUUAGUGUCCCAGAGCCUCUUGCAGUGCUCCAGAGGCAUCUGUGCAGCACCUGUGGGCCCGGUUCCACCCUGCCUCUUGGCCAAAAGUCAGCGUUCAAUGUGCCACAGAAAGUGCCGCCCCAGGUCAGCCAGGUUCGUGAGAAAACACUCCUGUAGACCUUCUCACCUUCCCCACCUCGACUGCCUCCCUCACUUUAAAGGCUUCCUCAGCUGGUGAGCAAGCGAUGCGCUGCCUGGACGUCCCGUGACCUGGGGCCAACCUGACCGCAACCCCGACCCCAUGUCAAUCUCACACGCUACCCAAAGCCCAAAAGAGUGCUUGACCUGGCAAGUGAAAACAACACCAUGUCCUUCAAAAGAAAUACCCAAACAUUGUUUGGGUGUCUUGAUGGAUCUGAGUGAAUGUUAACCCAGGUUAAAAAAUAACACUUAGUUGCAAACAUUUUCAUAUUCAAAUUGUAAAACAGUAAAAUUUACUAAAUUUAUUAAAAAUUACAUUUACUAAAAAGUUCAUUACACUCAAAUAUGACUAAGUUUAUUGCAAUUAACAGAAAAUUGUUAUGUGAGCUCAUUAACUGAUUAUAUUAAACAGAACUCAAGCUGAAUGAGAUUGCUUCUGACUAUAUAAGAAAUCGUUGAAAUUAAGUGUUAUGAAAUGUGUUUUUGCACAAGAUCAGUUAGUGUCUAAUGUUCUGUUAUGGAGUUUUGGGGCUUGUGCUGAAAAGCAGAGCCUGUGGUUAAGUCGAGAAUAGGCCAUUAGAUACCAACACAAUUUGAACAAUAAUUGUGUACAGUAAUUUGGCACAUGGCAAUGCAGUGAUAGCCUCUAGUUACUGUACAUGCGUGUUUGCUUAUGCUAGCUAUUCAGUAAAUCCACAAAGUGAGUUAAUUUUAUCAUUCUGUUUUUCUAGCCACAUACUGUAUCUAAAUAGAGUUUAUAAUUUUUUUAUAUAAAGAAAUUUUGU